rnacentral:rRNA from 1 species
AUACGGAGGGUCCAAGCGUUAUCCGGAAUCAUUGGGUUUAAAGGGUCCGCAGGCGGUCAAUUAAGUCAGAGGUGAAAGCCCAUCGCUCAACGAUGGAACUGCCUUUGAUACUGGUUGACUUGAGUUAUACGGAAGUAGAUAGAAUAAGUAGUGUAGCGGUGAAAUGCAUAGAUAUUACUUAGAAUACCGAUUGCGAAGGCAGUCUACUACGUAUAUACUGACGCUGAGGGACGAAAGCGUGGGGAGCGGACAGGAUUAGAAACCCUAGUAGUCC